UUAUGUGUAUCUUUACUAUAACUCAGAUUGUCAGCGUUCCUGGCCAUCCUUUUCCACAGACCAGCAAUCUUCCAGCGCCCCUUCCUCUCCAGUGAAAAAAAGCCCGACCUUUUUAGAUGUGAACACAGGACCCUUCAUCAGGACCAACAGUUUUGCCGAUGAGCUUGACCUGGAGGGUGAAACGCUGUUAACCCCAAUAACUCACAUCUCACAGUAAGUCAAGGCCAUUGAAUUGUGCAUUAGUUGACUUAGACAAGAGAAGCCAAUCCAGGUGGGAGGAGCUGAAAUACGGAGCUGAUAGGGCUAUCUCAGAUAUUUGCGUCAAACUCUUUUACCUUGAAGUUGGUGUAUACUUUUCUGAGUGCCAGUAAAUCUUCUUGUUGACCUAAAGAAAAGUUCGCUUGGCUUUGACACAAGGUUUUAGUUUUUAGCUAGUGUCCAUGGGCAGCUGGUGGUUGAUAGCCUUAAGAUUUUCACAUGCAGACAAUGUGUGGGAGUACUUGCCUGUUGAGAAUUAUAUUAAUCUCUCCAUCGUUUUCCAGUGGAAUAGCUGUAAAGUACAAAUUUAGAAGUACAUAAAUGAAAAACUGGCCUUUAGAUUUCAGCAGUACCUUCUUGAGUGAUUAUAAGAUGAUAUGUAUUGGAAGAAAAAUAUGUUUUGAUCUUUAUUACUGCUUUGUAUUGAAAUGUCUUGAAAUAGGCCUAUAUUUUUUGUUUUUGUUUUUUAAAAGGUUUUCCACAUUUCUUUUAUGCUAAAAUGUUAUGUCUCUUCAGAUUGUUCUCAAAAAUUCUGAAAAUAAUUAAGAUAAUAGAACUUAAGUACACUAUAAUGUCAAAAGGAAAAAUGAAUCAAGAACAGCUAAAUAUUUUAUUUGAACAUCUUAAAAAUAUCUUUCACUGUCUAAUUCAGACUCCUAACAAAUUCAUAUUAUUUGCCAUAGCAAAUGUGUGACUGUGUUUAAAAGAUCAAACUCUUUCACCUUGCUGGCAGAAUGAGAGUUUCUUCCUUUCCUAUUCCUAGAAAUCUGACUAUUUCUGCAGUGAAACCACAGAUGAAAAUUCUUGGCAUACUUACGUUUCAGUGGUACAACAUAUGCAGAAAUGCCUGCUGCCAAUUUUCAGGCCUUCUUUCUCAGUGAUAUAAAUAGCAGAGAAGCACAAACAUACAUGCUACAUCCCCUUUAGAAAGGGUAUGAAACAAAGAAAAUGUAGGUUUUGGAGAAUAAUGCUGGCUCCCAAACAAAAUAACUUGCAUUCUCAGCUGAAUCACCUACAUGCACAUACAUCUGUAGGCAGAGUUUAAGAGACUUUUAUUCUGGAAGAUUUCUUAGUGGUGCAAGCAGGAGGAGGAAGUCAUAAAUUUCCUCUAGCCUUAGACAAGAACAACGGAGCAGCAAAACCAGAUCUAGAAGUUUCCUUUUCAUUGCUUUAAAA